rnacentral:rRNA from 1 species
AUGGCCUCCGACCAUGAGCGCCUCCGCGCGCUCAAGGCCUUCGACGGCACCAAGGCCGGCGUCAAGGGCCUCGUCGACGCGGGCGUCACCACCAUCCCUGCCAUCUUCCACCACCCGCCGGACUCCCUGGCCGACGCGCCCCAUCACCAUGGUCACCACCAGUUCGCCAUCCCGGUCAUCGACCUCGCCGGCCUCGCGAAGCCGUCGGGGCGGGCCUCGGUGGUCGGCGCGGUAAGGGCGGCCGCGGAGACCGUGGGCUUCUUCCAGGUGACGAACCACGACGUGCCGGAGCCGGCCAUGUCCGAGAUCCUCGCGGCGGUCCGGCGCUUCAACGAGGAGCCGGCGGAGGCCAAGGCGCCGUACUACAGCCGGGACACCGAGCGGCGCGCUAGGUACCAGUGCAACUUCGACCUGUUUCGGUCGCCGACGGCCUGCUGGCGCGACACGCUCUACAUGGAGAUGGCCCCGGAGCCGCCGCCGCCCGAGCAGAUCCCGCCGGCGUGCCGGGCCAUCGUGCCGGAGUACGCUGGGCUGGUGCAGCGGCUGGGGCGGACCCUCUUCGGGCUGCUGUCGGAGGCGAUGGGCCUCCGGCGCGGGUACCUGGAGGAGGAGGCCGGGUGCCUGGAGGGGCUGAGCGUGGGCUGCCACUACUACCCGGCGUGCCCGGAGCCGCACCGGACGCUGGGCAACGCGAGGCACUCCGACCCCAGCUUCCUCACCGUGCUCCUCCAGGACGCCGUCGGCGGACUCCAGGUGCUGGUGGACGUCGACGAGCGGCGGCCGGCGUGGGUGGACGUGCCGGCGGAGGCGUGUGCGCUGGUGGUGAACGUCGGUGACUACCUGCAGAUCCUGUCCAACGACCGGUUCAGGAGCGUGGAGCACCGCGUGGUGGCCAACACCGCCGGUCCCCGGGUCUCCGUCGCAUGCUUCUUCCGCGCCGACGCCUCGACGAGGGUGCUCGCUCCGAUCGUCGCCGGCGGUGAUGGCGACGGCCGCGCGAGGUACAGGAGCACGACGGUGCCGGAGAUGCUCCGGCACUACGGCGCCAAGGGCCUGGACGGCGUCUCUGCGCUCCAGCGCGUCAGGAUCUGA